UACGUAUGGGGCAAGCGUUAUCCGGAUUUACUGGGUGUAAAGGGAGCGUAGGUGGCAUGGUAAGCCAGAAGUGAAAACCCGGGGCUCAACCCCGCGGAUUGCUUUUGGAACUAUCAGGCUGGAGUGCUGGAGGGGUAAGCGGAAUUCCUAGUGUAGCGGUGAAAUGCGUAGAUAUUAGGAGGAACACCGGUGGCGAAGGCGGCUUACUGGACAGAAACUGACACUGAGGCUCGAAAGCGUGGGGAGCAAACAGG
rnacentral:rRNA from 1 species